rnacentral:tRNA from 1 species
GGACUUGUGCCUGAAAUUAAGGUUCACUUUGAUAGAGUGAAAUAUAUGGGUUAAAAUCCCCUCAAGUCCU